rnacentral:rRNA from 1 species
AUAUAUUAUUGUAAUAGUAACUACGUUACAUUAAGUUCUAGGUAAGUUUUGAUUAUGACAUUAUUUAUCUAUAAGUCUUGACCAAUUCACGUGCCAGCAGUCGCGGUAAGACGUGUAAGACAAGUGUUAUUCAUAUUUACUAGGUAUAUUGGGUACUCAGACAGUUAAUUAAGCCGAUGAGGUACUAAUUAUACUAGAGUUUUAUGGAAAAAGGUUAGAACGGUGAGUGUAGUGAUAAAAUACGUUGAUACCACUUAGAGACUGACAACGGCGAAGGCGACCUUUUAUGUAAAAACUGACGUUAAAGUACGAAGGCUCAAACAAAGGAUAAGGAUUAGAUACCCUAGUACUGUGGGCAGACAAUGAUGAGUGUCAUAGGUAAGUAUAAAUAUAACUUAUAAAAAAGUUUAUGACUGUUUACCUAUAAAUGAAAGUGUAAGCACUUCACCUUAAGAGUAACAUGGCAACAUGGGAACUGAAAUCAUUAGACCGUUUCUGAAACCAGUAGUGAAGUAUGUUGUUUAAUUUGAUAAUCCACAAAGAACCUUACCACAAUUUGUAUGUUUUUUUCAAAAAAAAAUCACAGGAGUUGCACGGCUGUCUUCAGUUGAUAUCGUGAGAUCUUGGUUUACUCCAUUUAAUCAACGAAAACCCUUACUUUAUUUUAUUCAUAAAGCAGCUCUCCCCAAAGGAUAUGAUAAUAGGGACUAAGACAAGUCAUCAUGACCCGAAUAUUGUGGGC